GGUGAGGAAACAGACGCACACAGAGGUGAAGCAGCUUCCCCAAAGGCGCAUGGCUAAGAGUGGUUAUUUGUCUCCUUGUCACGCUGUUUUGAGGGAAGGAUUCCUACACUAGGAUUAUGAAGAUCGCCAAACAGAUGACGCUGGAUCCCAGAAAAGUGGGGCAGAAUGCAGUUUAGUUGUCACAUAUGCUCACAGCCUAGGGAAGAAGACAGCGGACAGCCCACAGGGCCACGCGAUGGUUCAAGAACAGAGUGAACAGCCAGGGCCUGUGAAAGGGAGGAAUCUCCCAGUGUUUGUGCCAUGUUUUGAUCUGACUGAAAGCCAUAAACAUAGCCGAAGCCUGGGCCAUCCACAGAAGACCCAAUGUUCUCUUUUUCCAAGUGGGCAUUUUGUAUCUCUGAAGAGUUCUAGACUGAGCUACAUCAGUAGACCUCUGCAUUUAAAGGGAGCAAUUCUCAUCCGAGGAUCCUGAUUCUUCUACUGUAGUGCAAUUUCACCACUCUCUCCAAAUGUCUCCAAGCAAAUUCAAAGCAGCUGAAAAUAACUGCAUGCCUGAGAGGACCACGAAGCUUCAGGCCAGCCCUGUCCCGAAGUCUUCUGUGCUUCAUGUCGAGUGGUCUGCAGUGGACUGUGUCUGCUUGAAGCGAUGCUCCGGAGGGCUUAUUGUUGUGUGGGGUAAAGCAUGAGAUCACUGAAAAAUGAGAGAAAUCGAGCAUACGAAAUGUGAAGCAUAUCUGUUGACACCAUGCGCUCCCUUUGCUUGCACUGGAUGGCGCAUGGUUUCCGUGCGCAGUGCCUGAGGUGUGGGGCAGGCGAGGCCCAUGCAGCCUGGCUCCUUUCCAGAAGGUUGCUGUUCAUUACAGCUCGAGUGUGCUGGGUUCUGCAGAUAUUAUCUAUUUUAAAUUAACGCUCCGUAAAAGGAAUUUAAAGUUUUCUGAAAAGAAACCAAUGAAUGAAGCUAAUAGUAAUAAUGCAAACACAAGCAAGCUGCCAAGUAAGCCAUUUUUCUAUUACGGAGCCCUUCAUCAGUCAUAUUAUUAAAGAAAAAACAACAAUACUAGUAAUAAUGAUCACCUAUUCAAGACCAAGAGGUUGAUCCUCCAAAAUUCAAACAAGGAAAAAUCUCUCCCAAUCUCUCCUUUCCUCCAUCCCUUUUCUUUACUUCUCAUCCCAUAUAUAAUAUUAUAUAAUGCAUACGUAAUAAAAGACAUUCACUAUUAUUAAAAAAAAAAAAAA
rnacentral:lncRNA from 1 species